AGAGUUUGAUCCUGGCUCAGGACGAACGCUAGCGGCAGGCUUAACACAUGCAAGUCGAACGGUAACAUGAGAGCUUGCUCUUGAUGACGAGUGGCGCACGGGUGCGUAACGCGUAUACAAUCUACCUUUUACAGAGGGAUAGCCCAGAGAAAUUUGGAUUAAUACCUCAUAGUAUUGUUUUAUGGCAUCAUAAAGCAAUUAAAGAUUUAUGGGUAAAAGAUGAGUAUGCGUUCUAUUAGCUAGUAGGUAAGGUAACGGCUUACCUAGGCAACGAUGUUUAGGGGGUCUGAGAGGAUGAUCCCCCACACUGGUACUGAGAUACGGACCAGACUCCUACGGGAGGCAGCAGUGAGGAAUAUUGGACAAUGGAGGUAACUCUGAUCCAGCCAUGCCGCGUGCAGGAAGACUGCCCUAUGGGUUGUAAACUGCUUUUAUAUAGGAAGAAACAUCCCGACGUGUCGGGAUUUGACGGUACUAUAAGAAUAAGGACCGGCUAACUCCGUGCCAGCAGCCGCGGUAAUACGGAGGGUCCGAGCGUUAUCCGGAAUCAUUGUGUUUAAAGGGUCCGUAGGCGGGAAUCUAAGUCAGUGGUGAAAUCUUACAGCUCAACUGUAGAACUGCCAUUGAUACUGCCAUUCUAGAGUACAGUUGAAGUAGGCGGAAUGUAUCAUGUAGCGGUGAAAUGCAUAGAUAUGAUACAGAACUCCUAUAGCGAAGGCAGCUUACUAAACUGUUAUUGACGCUCAGGCACGAAAGCGUGGGGAGCAAACAGGAUUAGAUACCCUGGUAGUCCACGCCGUAAACGAUGAUCACUCGUUGUUGGCAACACAUCGUCAGCGACUGAGCGAAAGCAUUAAGUGAUCGACCUGGGGGAGUACGAUCGCAAGGGUUGAAACUCAAAGGAAUUGACGGGGGGCCCGCACAAGCCGGAGGAGCAUGUGGUUUAUUAAUUCGAUAAUACGCGAGGAACCUUACCUGUGCUGAGAUGUAGAUUGCAUGAAGGGGAAACCUUUCUUGUCUUCGUAACGAUUUACAAGGUGCUGCGUGGUUGUCGUCAGCUCGUGCCGUGAGGUGUCGGGUUAAGUCCCAUAACGAUCGCAACCCCUACUUCUAGUUGCCAUCAGGUUAUGCUGGGGACUCUAGAGGAACUGCCUACGCAAGUAGUGAGGAAGGUGGGGAUGACGUCAAAUCAGCACGGCCCUUACGUCCAGGGCUACACACGUGCUACAAUGGUCGGUACAGAGGGCAGCAACCCCGUGAGGGGUAGCAAAUCUCCAAAGCCGAUCUCAGUUCGGAUCGAAGUCUGAAACUCGACUUCGUGAAGUUGGAUUCGCUAGUAAUCGUAGAUCAGCAAUGCUACGGUGAAUACGUUCCCGGGCCUUGUACACACCGCCCGUCAAACAAUGGAAGCUUGGGGUACCUGAAGUCCGUAACCGUAAGGAGCGGCCUAGGGUAAAACGAGUGACUGGGGGCUAAGUCGUAACAAGGUAA
rnacentral:rRNA from 1 species